UUAAUGUGGAGUAGUAACACCUUUUUCAAAGGGCUUCCAAAGGAGCUCCUCCUCAAGGAGAGGCUUGGUGAGAAGAAGCACAUACCAGAAAGGCCCUUGUUGAAGGCAGCACUUCCCCAUAGCCUGCUGUUUUCUCCACAGGCUUGAUCUUCCAAAUGUCAGUAAAACUUCUGCCCAGCAGUACGACCAAGGAGAACAUGCUGUGGGUAUGGGAACGAGCAUGGCCAAAGAAUGUAUUGACCCGUGGCUGCCUGGCACAUAGAUCUUACCUUCGGUUUGAGUCUGCAAAGGGUGAGAUGCUCCUGAAUUGUAAUGAAAUCUGUGUAGAUCUUGCCUCCCUAACCUCCAGAGCUCUUCACAAAAAAAAAAGUUCUGUCUAAUUUGAUUUUUAAAUUAUUUUUUUUUAGAAUUAAAGAUACUGGGUUGGCACCCUGAGAGGUCACCAGUAUUUCUUUUUAGAGGUGGGAGUGAGAUCUGUGUCCCCCUGGAGCACAGGAAUGAGGGUCCUGCAACUCAGGCAUGUUCCUGCUCCUGCAGAACCAGCUCCAAGGAGAGGCAGGAGAGCUCAGUACAGACCUACAGAUUCAGCAUGCAGGCUCCAGAAUCCUGUGAGUGCUUCUGACGAUCCCAAAAGGGUUUCAUUAUCUCUAACGCUAUUACUUGGAGCUCAGGCUGUAUCACUUCACCUGGCCAAGCCACUGCAACAUCUGCUGAACAGCACAAUGAUCUGGGUGUGCUGUCAGCCCAGUGCCAAUGCUAAAUGGCUGAUUUCCAUGAAAGUGGUGUAAAGCACAUCAGUAAGCAGGUGCAUUUAAGGAAAUGUACAUGGUCUGUCAGCCAGCAGCAGAGAUGGCAAAGCUGCAUUCAGGUGCCUGGUGCUUUAGGAUGUUGCUGUCAUACAUCUGCCUAUCACUGGUGGACUGGAGAAAAAAAAAAAUAUAUAUAUAUAUAUAUUUAAGAGCUGCUGUUAAAUUCUUGAUUGCACUGAUGGGAACAGUAACUCAAUGUACCACAACAGCUUUGUUGUCUUCAGUGUGUUUAACCCCCAUGCUCAUUAAGAACCCUGUGUAUUGUGGUUUUGCCACCCUGUUUCCACUGUUGACCUAGAACCGUGCCCUAAAACAGACACAAGACUCUGGAUCUCAUCCAUCCCCAAAGUGGUGUCUUUUUCUCCCCUGCAGAUUGAUGUAAUUCCGCUUUUCCUUGUUGGGAUUAGGACAAGCAUGCUCGCAGGCUCCCGUUAUCGCAGUGGAGGUAACGCGGGACGGAGCGAGGGCAGGCAGUGCUGAGUGAUCCUUGCCAGGUACCCAGCUGGCGCUGCCAAAGCGCGCGGGGCUUUCCUCCAAAUGCUUCCACCGCAGGAGAAACGUGUCUUCUGCUGCCAAGGGUCUGGGAAUGUCACUUAGCCUGGGGAAAGCUUGCCAUCGCUGUAUGACAGCCACUUCACCAGUCAGUCCAGUAACGCUCUGUGAAAACAAAAGGUUACGUGCCCCGUGCCAGAAGGACUGUCUUCACUGACAGUGGAACACGUCAGAUGUCUGGCCAUUUCAGGAGCUGUUCUCAGAAAGAACACGAGGAAAUGGGAGUCAUGUGUUACAGAGCAGUGUCCUCUGCAGUCCAAGGCACACUGACUAAACGUAUGUCACAUUCCUAUAGCACCUCUUAGGAUAAAUGUUGUAUGAACUAUAUCAAAAGUCUGGUUUCCUUCCUCAUAAAAAAGUUCCUUUGAAAUCUGAAGUUAUCUGAGUUGCCUGCACCCCAUUUUUUUGUUCAUUUCUUUAGCAAAUGAAUAAAGAUGGAUUUUUUUUCA
rnacentral:lncRNA from 1 species